CGCGCCCCGGCCCCGCCGACUCCCGCACGCCGCCCCGGCCGCUCGCGCAGUCACGCGCCCGCACCCGCGCGCCCGGCGGGGUCCUCGCCGCCGCCGCCAAGCAUCGUCGGCCCCGGCUGGGGCGCAGCAGGUGGCACGGCACGCAACGCGGGCUCCCGCAGAGCCCUCAGGCCCGGCUCGAACACUGUGUCAGUGGCAGGAAGUUGAACAGAGGCCGUGAUCAGCCCUGACUGUGGUCAUGAGAAGUUUCAGGAGUCCUGACUGGGAUGUGGAUGUUGGUCCUUCCAUUAUUGCUCUGUACUUCCCGAGAAUGUCCCCCGAGGCUUCUGUUAAGAACCGAAAUAUCCAGCAUGAAGCUGUCGGCCUGGGGAUGGGUUUCUAAAUGCCAUGUGAGGAGGUAAUGGGGUCAGGGAGACCCCAGGAGUAAUUCAAGAAAAGCAAGCACUGCAUUCACUUGGCUUCCCUUGAAAAGCAGGCUCUGAACGCAAGACUCUGAGGAGAGGCUGUUGUGGAGAGACUAAGCUAUCAAGAGCCGGUGCCCCUCAUCCUCAAAGGGUUCAGCCACCCGCCAUGCCUUUCUCCUCAAUCCAGGGGGCCUCAGGUCUGCCUUGAAGGAACCAGCCAGAGCAAGGAGGCCUUGCCCAGAUGACAGCCACUGAUGGGUAUGUUUGGAUGAUGACACUAGAAUAUUCUGGAAGCAGAGACACUGUCCAGUUUGAUCCUCUCUGGCCCCUAGCUGUGAGACUUUCUCCUCAAGUGUGUGGGAUUGGUGGCGUUGGUCAGACCGUGAUUGUCUUACCUCAGACCAAAUCUGCCACACCCAACCUAGUACCCCGAGUUCUGUCAUAUGGUGUUUGUCAUAUGAGAAAUUUCCUCUCAACAUUGGGACAGGGGACAAUGGAGUCCCUCCAGGAGCUCACGAUGCAGCCCUGCCUGGGCACCCUGCCCCUACCCCCACCCCCUAGCUCUGAGCUCAGCGCAUCACUAAGAGCAUGAGCCCUGCAGCCCCGUUAUCUGGCUUAACCCCCUGCUCAGACACUGGUGAAGGAACCGGCGUUAGAACCAUAUGACUGAAGCCCAAUCAUGAAUAACUCUGCAACUGUGUGUCUCACUGUGGUUCAAUUAAGAAAAACAAAUAAAUUACUUUAAAAAAAAAAAACCCUGCUCCAUCGCUCACUGGACCAUGGCCUUGGCUGGGUCACAGUGCCUUCUCAUGCCUCUGUUUCUCUCUAUGUCAAAUGCUUUUUGUUAUGGAAAUUAAAGUGAGGUGCCGGAACAUGGUAGAUGUAAUAGAGAAAUAAACAAGUAUGUUACUUAAUAUAGUAAUUCUUGGGAUCACUAAGUCAAUGAUGGUUGGAGGGACCGCUCAGGAUGGAAGACAUGUGCUGAAAGUAGACAAAGGACCAAACAUGAUGGCCUCUCGUUAUCUGUAUUCCACACCUUAAUACCCAAAAGUAGAGAGAGAAUAAGAGGGAAUUGUUUGCCAUAGAGGCAAG